rnacentral:lncRNA from 1 species
GAAUUACACUGAAUUGAAUAUUGUGAAUCUCCAAAUCACAGAAGAUCCUGGAGAGUAUGAAUGUAAUGCCACCAACUCCAUUGGCUCUGCCUCCGUUUCCACAGUCCUCAGGGUACGGAGCCACCUUGCCCCACUUUGGCCUUUCUUGGGAAUUCUGGCUGAAAUCAUCAUCCUUGUGGUGAUCAUUGUUGUGUAUGAGAAGAGGAAGAGGCCAGAUGAGGUUCCUGAUGGUAAGAGCAUCCCAACAAAAUAGUAAAGUUGGGGUUGGUUCCUUGGGUAGUUUCCAGUUGCUGAAAGAGGAAUAUAAGGACUCAUGUUAUGUACC